CCAUUGCAAUGAUGAGUACAUAGUUCAGCGGAUACAGAUGAAGAACAACCAUGUCUUUCGCUCCUAUCUGAUGCUUUGC